UGCAUUGCUUCCGUGUUUUCAGAGCUUUGGAGAUCUGACCCAUCCGUCUACCAUGAGGGCUUUUUACCUGGCCAUCGUUGUCAUGAUGCUGAUUGCCACUGCCAUGGUUGAAGGAUACAAAGGCCCGAGCUGUUCUACCUAUGGAGGCUCGUGUAAUCCAAAGGGCUGUGCGAAGGGCUAUACCUACUACUCUACCCACGACUGCAAGUACUGCUGUGUUUCCCCCUACCCAUACAAGGGCUGAAAGGGAGGAAUGGUGGUGCCAGGAGUUGAGAAGGGCUGAGAGAACAUCACCCCACUGCUCAGCUGUCAAGAAGGCAUUCUGUCUCUUCCUCCUCAAUAAAUGCACAUGAAUGCUCA